rnacentral:rRNA from 1 species
UACGUAGGGUGCGAGCGUUGUCCGGAAUUACUGGGCGUAAAGAGCUCGUAGGUGGUUUGUCGCGUUGUCCGUGAAAACUCACAACUCAAUUGUGGGCGUGCGGGCGAUACGGGCAGACUGGAGUACUGCAGGGGAGACUGGAAUUCCUGGUGUAGCAGUGAAAUGCGUAGAUAUCAAGAGGAACACCAGUGGCGAAGGCGAGUCCCUGGACGAUACCUGACACUGAGGCACGAAAGCCAAGGGAGCAAACAGG